AACGAACGCUGGCGGCGUGCCUAAGACAUGCAAGUCGUGCGGAAAGGCUCCUUCGGGAGUACUCGAGCGGCGCACGGGUGAGUAACACGUGGGUAACCUACCUGAGGGUCUGGGAUAACUCCGGGAAACUGGGGCUAAUACCAGAUGAGACCACAGCGUCUUCGGGCGCAGCGGUCAAAGAUGGCCUCUCCUUGGAAGCUAUCGCCUACAGAUGAGCCCGCGUCCCAUAGCUAGUUGGCGGGGUAACGGCCCACCAAGGCGACGAUGGGUAGCUGGUCUGAGAGGAUGAUCAGCCACACUGGAACUGAGACACGGUCCAGACUCCUACGGGAGGCAGCAGUCGGGAAUUUUGGG
rnacentral:rRNA from 1 species